rnacentral:rRNA from 1 species
AUACGGGGGGUGCGAAUGUUGUUCGGAAUCACUGGGCGUAAAGCGCGCGCAGGCGGCUUGGUAAGUCAGAUGUGAAAGCCCCGGGCUCAACCCGGGAAGUGCAUUUGAAACUGUCAGGCUUGAGUGCGGUAGAGGGAGGUGGAAUUCUCAGUGUAGAGGUGAAAUUCGUAGAUAUUGAGAGGAACACCGGUGGCGAAGGCGGCCUCCUGGACCGACACUGACGCUGAGGCGCGAAAGCGUGGGGAGCAAACAGGAUUAGAAACCCUAGUAGUCC